CCUACGGGAGGCAGCAGUGAGGAAUAUUGGUCAAUGGGCGCGAGCCUGAACCAGCCAAGUAGCGUGAAGGAUGACUGCCCUACGGGUUGUAAACUUCUUUUAUAAAGGAAUAAAGUGAGGCACGUGUGCCUCUUUGUAUGUACUUUACUAACAAUGAUCGGCUAACCCCGUGCCAGCAGCCGCGGCAAUACGGAGGAUCCGAGCGUUAUCCGGAUUUAUUGGGUGUAAAGGGAGCGUAGAUGGGUUGGUAAGUCAGUUGUGAAAGUUUGCGGCUCAACCGUAAAAUUGCAAUUGAUACUGGCAGUCUUGAGUACAGGUGAGGUAGGCGGAAUUCGUGGUGUAGCAGUGAAAUGCUUAGAUAUCGCGAGGAACACCGGUUGCGAAGGCAGCUUACUAGAC
rnacentral:rRNA from 1 species